ACGGCUCUUUGAAGAAACCUACAUAAUAUGAGCUACAACAACAUUUAAUUUCCCUUUGGGAUUAAUAAAAUAUUUUUCAAUUGAAUUGAAUUUAGCAGCUGUGAUUGUACUGCACAGUAUAUACCAGGGAUAUAUAACCCCAUUUCUCAUUGGCUGAUCUCCAGCAGGUUGUAGAUGUGUCCCUACUCCAAGAAAGACUGAAAUGGUUGAAUUACAACCCCGGCGUUUCAUACUUUCUGUUGUACCGGCACGGUCAAUGGUUAAUAUAGCGUUACUUGCUGACCGUGAAAUUAGCUGUCCAAAUUGACUUGUUUAUUAAUAAGUCUUUUUACACACUGUUAUUCAUGCUGACCUGCAUGACAGGGCAGAUGUUAUCACUUUUGCCUCGUUAAAAGAAGGUCCUGGGUUUUGGCUAUGUGGAGUCUGUAUGUACUUUAUGGGUCCUCCACUUUUAACCCACAGUUCUAAAGCAUGCAAUUCUUGUCAAAGUCUGGAUCGAGCCUGGCUGCUACUAACUGUCUUUCACCCCUAGGUGCCGCCGGAGUCUGUUAUUCGGGGGUGUGACAGGUGCGGCUUGUUUCGGUGAUCCGCUGGAGCAGUAUAAGGAGGACGGAUUGCCAGUACAUCUUUGCCUGAGUGUUUUGCCAACUGCGGUGCCUGAUCCAGCCUCGCUCCUUACGGAGAGACCUCAUUACCGGACCCGAACCAAGUUAAACCCAAGAUCAAGCCUUCAGCUGGCAGUCCAUCCGAGCCAACCUCCAGGUCAGCUUAGCCAAACUCUGUCCCCCCUCCGACGGUAAACACGCUCCGAUCAUCGAGGCUCCAGGUGGUCCCCGGCGAAGCCUCCCCUCGGUCCUGACUCUGUAGCAUCUCCCUGGCAGAUCGAACCUCACUCUUACUAUUAGCCUAGCUUUGAUUAAUUCAGCUGUCGAGCGGCAGAUUACUCAUCAGAUUUGUUGUUUUCUUGCAGUUCACCUGCUCCUGGUCGAUGGUCGCUUUCUCACCAUUUUCACCCUUCCUAAACAGUCUCAGUUCUCUGGGUGUUUACUGCAUGUGGGUCAAGUCGGCCUCAAACGUUAUGACAAUUCUAGGUUACCUGGGAACUUUACAUUGGUGUGAACAUCUGAGUUAUCCUGUCCUGGGUGUACCUUGCCUCACUCACUGACUGCUGGAAACUGGUACCAGCCUGCCCGUGACUCCUAAUGGAUUAAGUGGCAAUAGGACAUGCAUGAACUGUUCAAUUUAAUCCAAACAAUACUUGUUUAGUAAUUCAGCUUAUCUUUCGAUUUUCAAUCCACUCUUUAGUAGCCUUAACAUUUGAUAUUGAUCAUGUUAACCAUUUUUUGGGGGGUUAAAAACCUAACCCAGUAUGCUGGAUCAAACCCAAAACCAACCCAGGGCUGGAUUGUCUAUAGCUGACCCAGGGCUGGGCAAGACAAAUAUCCCAAACUGGGUUGUGUUUGAAUGUGUUUAAUGUGUAAUAAAUGGUAAAGAAUGCCAUUAAAAUUUCAGUUUCAAGAUAUUUCAGAGACACUGUAAAGUCUUAGAGUUAGUGUGUUUAUCUGAAACUAAUGUGCAACAGCAGUCUAUAGAGAGAAUAAAGCCACUCACAACCUUUUUUUCCUAACACAACCAUUGUUUAGCUGGAAAGCCCUGUGAUUAAUAAUAGUGUGUGUACAUGCUGAAUAAAUUGUAAUAAACAAGAAAUGGAAACGGU